AUCCAGGCGGCCUGUUCCAGAUUACACGAGGGGUCGAGCUGGUUCACAGUUUACAAGCAUGUCUGAGCGAUAUUAAGGUCCCAGAUGUUGCAGGGUCUUACUAACAUCCACUAAAAAUUUUAAAUCAAUUCUAAAUUUAACGCAAAGCCAAAGUAAUGACCUCAGAACAGGUGUCAUAUGGUUAUAUUUUCUUCUUCUUUUUAAACUGCGGAAUCUCUGAAGUCAAUUAAGAUGCUCUUUUGAUAUUCUUUCGAAUAUCACGGCCAUAUUGUGACCAUAAUCAGUCCGUGUGGUCUGAAUAUGGUCACUAUAGACAACCUUAAACUUCCGCAGAUUAAAUAAAUAAAGGCAAAUGUCUACACCUUCACAUGUCUGGAUGGGAAAUCUUUCUGCUGACUGAUCUGGGUGUCUGCGUUAAGCGCUUUGAGUCAUUUUCUGAAGUCAGCAUUUAUACACAACUUUCUAAAUACACAGGAAAUCAAAGAAAGGAGAAGAGAAAGAGAGUGUGUGUGAGAAAAGAAGGCAUGAGAAAAAUGGAGAGGAUGGACUUCCUGUUACUUUAAAUUUAACUCACGACCUUUCUUGUGUAAGUCCCCCUCUCUUCCAAUUACAAGGUAAAAAAAAAAAGAAAAAAGAAAAACAGCAUGCAAAUCUUUCCAAAUAAGAAUAUCAUCACUUCAAAUCCAGGCAACCCUCCACAUAUGAAGCAGAAUAUUCCCUGAGUGCCUAUUUGCUUAGAGAGCGCAUGAAUAAAGUAUAGGAAGUAAAGUGUUUUGAUGAAGAGUGGGGGUAGGUUUGUUGUUUCUCAGUACUCUUAGUGAGGCUAAUACAGUCCCAAAAGACUGAGCGUUAGGUUCACGCAGAGGCCUUCCAAAUAAAUAUUUAAGGCACAAUGCCCUAUUUAGUUUGAACUAAAGGCAACAGUUAUAUGAGCACUUGUGGAGCAUCAGAGUACACCAUUUAAAAUCAAAUCGAGCCCGAAUCCAAGGACGUGGCUUGUAGUUGAUAAUUAAACAACUCACAAAAACUUCCUUUAAUAGACUAGACUUGUUUUAGGACCAAAGUUAGAAGAGAUUCAUCUUUGCAAAAGACUAAAACACCAGAGGCAUCAGUACCACUCGCCUCUGUCCAGAAAAUAAAGCAUUUUCCAG
ensembl:lncRNA